rnacentral:rRNA from 1 species
GACGAACGCUGGCGGCGUGUCUAAUACAUGCAAGUCGAACGCAGUGGGGCCGGGUGAGUAACACGUGGGUAACCUACCAUCAGAGGGGAUAACACUUGGAAACAGGUGCUAAACCGAUACUGAUGGAUGGACCCGCGGUGCAUUAGCUAGUUGGUGAGGUAACGGCUCACAAAGGCCACGAUGCAUAGCCAAACUAAGAGGUGUAUCACCCCCCGUGGGCGUGAGACACGGCCCAGGAUCCUCCCACAACCACCACUACAAAAUCUUCUGCAAUGCACGAAAGUCUGACCGAGCAACGCCGCGUGAGUGAAGAAUUUUUUCGGAUCAUAACACUCUGUUGUUAGAGAAGCGGUAUCUAACCAGAAAGCCACGGCUAACUACGUGCCAGCAGCCGCGGUAAUUC